GACAGAGGGUGCAAACGUUGUUCGGAAUUACUGGGCGUAAAGCGCGUGUAGGCGGCCCUGCAAGUCGGGUGUGAAAUCCCACGGCUCAACCGUGGAAGUGCACUCGAAACUGCAGGGCUAGAGUCCUGGAGAGGAAGGUGGAAUGCUUGGUGUAGAGGUGAAAUUCGUAGAUAUCAAGCGGAACACCGGUGGCGAAGGCGGCCUUCUGGACAAUGACUGACGCUGAGACGCGAAAGCGUGGGGAGCAAACAGG
rnacentral:rRNA from 1 species